GAUGAACGCUAGCUACAGGCUUAACACAUGCAAGUCGAGGGGUAACGAGAGGAAAGCUUGCUCUCCUUGUCGACGACCGGCGCACGGGUGAGUAACGCGUAUCCAACCUGCCCCCAACUAGGGAAUAACCUUGCGAAAGUAAGACUAAUACCCUAUAAUUUCCUCAGAUGUCAUCUGACGAGGAAUAAAGAUUUAUCGGUUGUGGAUGGGGAUGCGUCUGAUUAGCUUGUUGGCGGGGUAACGGCCCACCAAGGCAACGAUCAGUAGGGGUUCUGAGAGGAAGGUCCCCAACAUUGGAACUGAGACACGGUCCAAACUCCUACGGGAGGCAGCAGUGAGGAAUAUUGGUCAAUGGGCGGAAGCCUGAACCAGCCAAGUAGCGUGCAGGAUGACGGCCCUAUGGGUUGUGAACUGCUUUUAUACAGGAAUAAAGUUAGCCACGUGUGGUUAUUUGUAGGUACUGUAUGAAUAAGGACCGGCUAAUUCCGUGCCAGCCGCCGCGGUAA
rnacentral:rRNA from 1 species